UGGGGAAUUUUGGACAAUGGGCGCAAGCCUGAUCCAGCAAUGCCGCGUGCAGGAUGAAGGCCUUCGGGUUGUAAACUGCUUUUGUACGGAACGAAACGGCUCUGUCUAAUACAUGGGGCUAAUUACGGUACCGUAAGAAUAAGCACCGGCUAACUACGUGCCAGCAGCCGCGGUAAUACGUAGGGUGCAAGCGUUAAUCGGAAUUACUGGGCGUAAAGCGUGCGCAGGCGGUGAUGUAAGACAGGUGUGAAAUCCCCGGGCUUAACCUGGGAAUUGCAUUUGAGACUGCACGGCUAGAGUGUGUCAGAGGGGGGUAGAAUUCCACGUGUAGCAGUGAAAUGCGUAGAUAUGUGGAGGAAUACCGAUGGCGAAGGCAGCCCCCUGGGAUAACACUGACGCUCAUGCACGAAAGCGGGGGGAGCAAACA
rnacentral:rRNA from 1 species